UUAUUGAUUUGGGGUUUAAAUGG
rnacentral:snRNA from 1 species